AAAUUUACUGCGCUGAAGAAUGCGUUCUACAAAAAACUAACCUGGAGCUCCGAAAUACAGCAAAAAGAUGACCCUCCUCCUCCUCCUGUAAUUGCAAGCAGUCAGAAGAUGAAAAGUCAAGAGGCCAAGAAACCUAUUAAGCGUAGAGGCCGUCCUAUUAAAAAGCGUA